rnacentral:rRNA from 1 species
AUUGAACGCUGGCGGCAUGCCUAACACAUGCAAGUCGAGCGGAGCGGCGGACGGGUGAGUGAUGCCUAGGAAUCUGCCUGGUAGUGGGGGAUAACGUCCGGAAACGGGCGCUAAUACCGCAUACUAUCAGAUGAGCCUAGGUCGGAUUAGCUAGGUGGGGGGGUAAAGGCCUACAAAGGCGACGAUCCGUAACUGGUCUGAGGGGAUGAUCAGUCACACGGGAACUGAGACACGGCCCAGAUGCCUACGGGAGGCAGCAGUGGGGAAUAUUGGACAAUGGGCGAAGGCCUGCUCCAGCAAUGCCGCGUGUGUGAAGAAGGUCUUCGGAUUGUAAAGCACUUUAAGUUGGGAGGCGUUACCGACAGAAUAAGCACCGGCUAACUUCGUGCCAGCAGCCGCGGUAAUUC